rnacentral:lncRNA from 1 species
GAGAGGACCAGAAGUGGGAUGAAUAUGAAGAAACACCUCUUCUUGUAUAGUCAUUUUCUUAUUCAGAAUUCAUGUUCUUAAACAUUUUAAUAAUGUAUUCUCAGAUUUUUUUUUCUAAAGUUUGUAUGGCAUAUUUAGUGAUUUAAUAGUUCUUUAUAAUUUUAUUUGAUGUUCAGAAUUUAGUAUAACAAAUUUAUUAUAAUAUUGGAAGGGUUUUGAAUUGCUUACAUAAUUUAUGUUUAUAAUGUCCUCUUUUAAACUUAAAAAUUGAUCUAUUAUGGUUUUGAUUAGAAUUAACAGCCAUAACAGGAUUUGGAAAUGAAAAAUGACGGAAGCCUGUUAGUGUAAACUGCCAAUAAUUUCUAAUAGUCAGGAACAAGAAGACCAUUAAAAAGUUGGAUUUAUGCCAAUAAAAAGGUACAAAGGUAAAGGGAUGGGGUUACUGUCAUCCAGAGUUGUAAAUUUUGAUCUCCCUGCCAGUUAACCUCGUAACACCCAUAUUCAGCUGAGGACAACAUUCACCUACUUUUUCAUUUACUUGGGAUGGUUGUAAGAGAAGAAAAGAAUUUGUUUUUUUCUUGGUAAAAUGGUGGUCCUAAUUUGUAUUUAGUGGACCCUUCAGUAAUAUUACAAUGAAAUAUUACUUAGUUAAGGUGUAGACAAUUGAUUUGAGGAAGAGCAUUCUGUGUGUUUCACCAUUAGAACAUACACCAUACUUUUUUCUAGCUUGAGAAAAUCUGUAUCUUUUAGGAAAAGUCUUAGGUCUGUUUAAGCAAACCCUUUUAUUCCAUGGUUACUUGCAUUUUGUGCAAUCAACAUUCUUAGAAUUUCUAUAAUGUGAUGAAGAUUUGGUUUAGAAAAAGACAUACAUUCUAGGCCCUCAGAGAACAGUAUUCGGAGAGACACAAAGCCUUACCUAGUGUGAUAAGUAGUAGAAUGGAGAAAUGCGAAAAGAGCCAUGGGAUCACAGGGAGGGAGAUGCUGAUUCUACAAAUGCAAAUUGUACAAAUUCUACUUAUGGGAAAGGUGGGUGUGCCAGCUUUCCAUUGCUGUAGCAAGUGCUUAGGAUAAAUCAACUUAAAAAGAGGAAGGGUUUAUGUUGGCUUAUGGGUUUUAAAGUUUCAAUGCAUUGUUGGUU